ACCUAGUUUAUUUGGCAAAAUCUCUGUUACUACAAAGGUUUUUAACAUCAUGUAAGCAUUUAUAAACAUAAACACAGUGGAAGAUGGUGCUCUUGAGAUCUAGACAUGGCGUUAUCAUAAAAGAUGUUGGCAACUGGAUGACGAGCUGCAGUGUUUGAGCUUCGUUUCUUAAAUGUGAGGGACACACAUAAGAGGCAUGCUGUUCUUUUACAUCCAUCAAUGAAGAACAACGAUAAAGAUGAGCACCUACCGGGGGAUGUGAAAAUCUUUUGUCCAGAAGUAAUACAAAAGGAUGAAACCGAGAUUUUUAGUUUUGGCAGUAUGAUAUCGACCAUCAAGGCAAAAACGCAAACGGCCUUGUGCAUUUUGAUGAGGCAGCUUUGGUCCAAUGUUCGCAUUCAAUGACGAUGUAAGUCUCCUACGAUUGCGCUUCUUCGGACAGUAACUAUUGAAAAUAGCACACACAGAAUGCACAAUGUUCUUAAAAGUUUUUGAUGUACAUGGUAGCUAUUAUUGUCGUUCCAUAAUGUCAACGUCCGACCUCGCCACCUUAUAGUAUAAAUGCAUUUAAUCCCCAGCACAAUUAUAUUACAUAGUCUUGUACUUGAAUCAAACGUAGUGGUUGCUAUCAUGGUCAGAUGCUUUAAUCAGACCACGAAAGUCAUGGUGGUGGUUUGUGAUUCUUGCACACAACCUGGAUUCGCAUUGAUGAAACUUAAAUUCCAUGAUCCCAUGACUAUGAAGGAAGCGCUAUGACUGU